UGACAUAGGAUAUUCUGGACAAUUUGUCCAGAACAAGCUAAUAGUGCUGUGUGGCAGGACUGUAGACAAGAGGGAGAGGAGCAGGAUCUACAUCUCCUGCUGCUUCCAUAUUUAUGGAUCGACACAAGAAGUCUGCAUCCACAGCAGUGAGUGCUUUGCAGGGGAAAGACAUUCAGAAGGCACUGCAGCUGAGAAGGAUAAUGCGAGGCCUGCUGGAAAUGCUCCCCUUCCAUAACUGAAACUUCUGGGAAGAAAUGAUUGCAGCUCUGAGAACUAAGCAACUAUCUUACAGAGUGAAGGAAGGGAAGGUGGGGAUGAGAACUGGAAAAGCUUAUAGAUAUUUCAACACGUGGUAGAGUGAUUUAGCAGUACAAGGUGCAGGAAGAGAAGGUUUGGUAAGUACUAACACUUUUUAAUAUUUUAUACCCAGACUGGAUGUUCCAGGUCACCUUAUAUUUCAACUGAGAUUCUCUGUCUUUCAUUAAUAGGUACCAUUGGAGGAGAGAACUUUAAAUAUUGACUUCUAAAAGUGUAACACUCUUGAAUCUAAGAUUUAUUAUAGUUAUUUGAUAAAACCUACUGAAGAACUGUGAGGAAAUUAGAGCAAAUAUUCAGUCAGCAGAUACAGCAAGUGUAUGUUAAAGAUUGAGAUACAAAAGACAUUUGCUUAGAUGAAGUAAUAGUGACUUGGAAGCAUUAUGAGCUAGACUCCACCUUAGUAAAUCAGACAAGCUAUUCCUCUGUAACCAAUCUGGAGCAGAGCAGCCCAGCAGUCCUUCAAACUUAAAUUAGUGUCUCAUUCUAAAUGAAAGACUUUGAACCUUAAGUUAGAACCUUGCAGAAACACUUUGGAAAGGUUUUUUCAAGUGUGGACAGUGAGUUACAGAACUGGAAAAAUUAUGAAAUCACGUGUAUUUGAUGUGUGGUUUAUUGCAUGCUUUGGACUGAAAGUGGUUUGCUUACCAAAGAAAUGCAGCUGACCUAAGUUCCACUGCUUUACAUUCAGUACACAAGCUACAGUUAUGGACAGAUAGCACUGGACAUUCGCUUUGCCCUUGCAGAAAUACCUAAGAUAGAAGGGAGCUGUUUGUAGGUUACUUUUAUCUCAGACCUAAUCUGUUCAUGAGCUACCUACCAUAAUACCAAACCCUUGUUUCUGAAUGACAGCAGUCAGUUCAGUUAUACCAUUUCACUGAUCCUACGGCUAAAACAUAACAAGAAAAUCAAAAUCUCCACUGACACAGAAACAGCAAGACAGAAAUUCUUUUUCUCUCUGGUUUCAAAAUGAGGCAGAAUUUGUCACGUCCAUUCCUUGAUUUUACCAGAAGAUGGUGGCACAGGGCUCCUUUUCCUAAAAGCCCCAGAACUUGAGGCACCAUGCUUAAGAGUUUUACCUGCGGGAAGCAGUGUAGCAGAAUCGCACUAAAAGUUUGCCUUCUUUCAAGGGUCUUACUAGUCAUAACUACUAUAAUGAAGUGAUGACAUUUUACUAAAAGAAUUUGCCCUGCAGACCUUCUUCUCUUGGUGUAAAGGAAACGUUCUUAUGCCAACAACUUUUAGAGGGACAAGUUCACCAGAAAAUAAAAGUUAUCAUUUUGAAAUGAGGUUAUCUACUCAGAGAAACCUCCCGUCAUUACUAUUAAAAUUUAAAUUGAUGCCUUACAUUAUUUAUCUUUCUGUUGCAGACAUGGUCUUAAAUAAGCACUAAGAAAAUCCCUUAUGUAGAUAUUUUGCAAUUAUACUUGAAGUUUUUUGCUCCCAAAGACAGAUAGAAAGUAUUAGGGCUAAACUUUGCAAAGCGUUGUCAUUUGUUAUUUAACAGAUUAAUAUUGUUGGCUAUAGUGAAGAACCAGAAGACAGGUCAGCUAGCUAAGUUAAUAUAGUCAAUGAAAUUAAGUUUAUGAUAUGAAUCCAUUGCUCAUAUCCCUUUUCUUAAACAGGUAUUUGACACUGUAACCUUCUGAGAUACUGAGGAUUCUGGCAGGUCACUGAGAUGGUUUAGUACUACAGUUCUCUUCAUUGUUUCAGUGAAGGUAAAAGAAGAGGCUGUGUGGUUGCCCACAUUCUGGCAGAUUAGCACAACCCCAUUUCCAUCAAUGAUUUACAUUAACAUAUCUCCACAAGGCACUUUGGUAUUCAGGUUGUACCUGCAUAAUUUUUCAUCAUGAUUGCUUUGCCAUCUUUCCUGCCCUGCCAGCCCAGAAGGGGCUAGAAGGGAUGGGGUGUAUUUGCCCCCAUUAGAUGAUUAUUCUCGGUCACCCUUGACACAACUGUGAAUAUGUCAAGACUGUGGCACAGAGCACAAUGACAGGCAUGAGCACAAGGCAAUAAUCUCUGUCUAGGCCAGCUGGGGCCCAAGACACCUUAAAAUGUCUUUCAUAAGAUUUGCCAGAGGGACAGACCUCAGACUUGAAAGAGAGAAGAUACUGGAACAGAAAAUAAAUUCAACUUGUACAUUCCAGUAUUUGUGCCUUGAAUAUGUGAGUUACAGUACGGGUUUUUUUUAUGGCUAAAGAAUCUGCAUCUUUGUGAACAGCAAGUCGUAGAAUCAUAGAAUCAUAGUAUAGUUAGGAAUCCAAAUAAGGUCUAGACGUAGGUUCUCUUUUGCAUUCCUUUGCAUUUUAGGACGUACUUUCCAUUACAUCUUUCAUCUCUUCUGUGCACAGAUGUUUUCUUUUGCUCUGAGAUUCUUUCCUGGCUGCAACCGAAGUUCUUAUGACAACUAUAACACUUAGUGAAUUACCUUAUUCUAUGUUACUUUUUAUUUUUCAAAUAUUUUCCUCAGCACUGUAUCAUCUAUGUGGUCUGUUUUUCCUACUUGAGACAGUAAACAACGUAGCAACUUUUCCUUAAUAAGAUAUUUGCAUAAGUCAGGCAAAGCCUUCUUCAGACCUAUGACCACCACAUUGAUGUUAAUAGAAGUUUUCCAGCCACAAAGGAUACAUUCUCAUUUAGUAAAGAAAUACAUUAUAAGUAUUUGAUUUCCAGAUGGGUUAUGGAAAAGUAACUGAAUGCAAUCAAAUCAAACAGGGCCUUGAGCAGCCUGAUCUAGCGGGAGGUGUCCCUGCCGAUGGUGUGGGGGUUGGAACUAGAGAAUCAAUAAGGUCCCUUCCAAUCCAAACAAUACUAUAAGACAAAUAAAGACUCAUUUGUACAAAUCAGGCUAAUUCAUUUAUAAUAAAUUCAUCUCCAGGGUAGGAUUGAGCUGAAAAGCUACUUUAGCCAUGCAAAUUCUCCUUUACAAAAAGCCAGCAAAGUCCUUUGCAGCAACAUCAGUCCUGAGCUGAAUUUGUGUAAGCAGAGUAUUAAUAAUACUCAAGGUUGUAAACAUGAAAUGAAUGAAUUAUGUUACUUUCUUUGAAACUGUUAGUCUGAGGAAAACACAAUUACCAACUUAUUUUAAAAUAGUUUCUCUGUUAAGGGUAUUUCCAGAUCAUUCUUUGCUGGCCAACAGUGUACAGGGAAUGAAUAAUAUCCCCAUUGCAUACAUGUGUUAAUUUUAAAUGGGGUACGGUUAGAAGGAUGUGCCACAGGACUUGGACAUAUGUAGCCCAUAGUCAUCUUCAUGCUCCUGUCCCUUCUGAGAAGUUGCAUUCGUCCUAGCAGUGGUCAAGAGCUGAACAGGUGUCACAGCUGUGUUGAGAGAGCUGAUGUGCCCAUUCAAGGAUGAGUUAUCCAGAUACCCGGAUCUGUGUUCAAAUCACAUAGUUGGGAACAAGAAAGGAUACUCCAAACUAAUGAUAGUUUCUGAAUAACAGAGCUAUGUGAGCAGCCAGUGUUUCUGUAAUUAUCUGAUUUGUGCCUUUUGGCACUGAGUCAGCUUUUUUCCUUACUGAUUAAAGGUAAAAUGCAUUGAACAGGUACUGUAUUAGCCCUGAAGUCCAGCUGCUUCAUGGUUUGUGACAACAUACUGCAUGGACUCUGCCAUGGGGCAAAGCAAACAGAGCUUUAUUGAUAGAGGCUAUUCCACUAGCAAACAGAGUACCAGUAGACCAUAAACAAGGUCAGAUAGAACAAACUUACCGUCUCCCACAUGGCUCAGAGGCUGCCAAGAAAAGUCUGGCACUCAGAUCUGCUGGGGCACAGUUAGGCUACCCUUCAGGGGUUCAUCCCAGUGGGUCUAUCUUCCCUUGCAGGGGUUCUCAGCUGAGAUAUGCUCUCAUUAGGUAAGGCUUUUUCUUCAGAGCUUCCUGUAAAUAUGUCAGGUCAGCAUGAGCCACAGCAGGUCAUUUAGUUUGGAUGGUUGUGACAAGAGGUUAAAUACUCCACUGUAAGCUGUAUUUUCCCCUUCUGCUGACUGUUCCUGCAGGAAGCCAAGUGUACAACAGAGGUCUUCUGCUUUGAGCUAAAGCAGAAUUCAUUUUCUAACUUUUUAUCUAAGCCUCAUCUAAGUAACUUUAUUUUCUGAAACAUGACUACAUGUUUUCAGAGAAUGUCUGUCUCUACAAGGAAUAACACUUAGAAUUUGUCAUUAUCUCCAAAGUAAUGGGGCACUAGCAAGCAGAAAGGCCAUUGCUUAUACUUAUUUCUAUGAAUACAAAGGCUACUCUUGAGUUGGUGAAAUGCUGUAGGUCAAACCGGUGAAAAAGUCUGGUACGUGCAGGGAGGAGCAGACAGGACAGGUGAUUCAAAACUAACCAAAGAAGUACUUCAUUCCACAUGCAUUGUAGUCAGCAUAAAGCUGAGGGAUCAAGAGGGCCAGGCCCUCUUAUGCUAUGGCCAGCAUCUAAUAAGAUCUCCAUCUGUCUUUCUGCCCCCUGCUCUCAGAUUUGUGCAUUCCUGAAUGCAGUUCCUGUGUCCAACUCCUAUCUGCUGCUGAAUACAGCCCAGGACUUUUCCCCAUGCCCACUCUACAGCACCUGUCAUGAUGCAGAGUCAUUGUGGAGUGGGGGGUGACCGGUUUAUAUAUUUAUAUAUAUUAUUAUUUUCUUAGUUUUAUUAUUUUCCUUUUGAUUAUUAAUGUUUCAUUGAAGCUGUUUGAGUUUUAGUUUCCAAUCCACAAGCCUCUCCCUCAUUUCCCUUUUCCUCUUCCCUGGGAGGAGGGGCAGGGACUGGGUCACAACUGCCUGUGUUUAUCUGCUGCCGUGGCCGGUGUGGGGCUAAACCAUGACAACAGGUUAGGAAGAAGCUCUAAUUCUCUUUCAAGGCUUGGCUUGGAUCUAGCUAUCCCAUAGACUGGGAGAAUGCACGUAUGGGGUUAACCUGCCCUGAUCUGAUCUGGUGGAAGAUUGAGGAGUGUUAAUAAAAUCACCUACAGAUCAAUGAAAUACACCAUAAAAUGCAGUUGUUUACCAUUGGCAAAAUGAAGACAUGGUACAUAAGUAACAGUUUAUGUCUAUCAGAAUCCUACCUUUCCUUCUCUAUCAUUAAUGCAACUAGAUAGCAUGAAGAGGAACAUGCCCUAUCACAUACUAAGAUAGACAAAAGCAACAUGGAUAAAUCAUGAAGGGCAGACUAACACGAUUUUCUCAGUAUUAGGACAAAAUGCACCCUGCCUCCACAAAAACUUUGCAGAAUUGUCCAGUUCUCAAAGAAUAUCAUCAGUGCCAUGCUGAGAGUAGUGUCAGCUAAGUAUAUUUAGGCCCUUGCUCUACGGAUCUCCAUACUGUGAGCUGUAGGCAUUCUUGUGCCUCCCGCAUAUUUAUGGCACAAGAUUAAGUCUUUUUCCUGUCUUCUCCACAUCCUCCCCUUCCAGAGAUAUGUGGGCUGAACCUCCUUCUCACUCCAGGUCCCUGCCACAGCUCAGUUCAAUGUGCUGGUCUGGAGCACGAAGUUCCUCACUUAGAGGACAGCUGUGGUGAUGCUCCACAUUCUGGUAGAAUGCCACCUGCUAAGCCCAUUCAGCAUUCAAAGGUGCCUUGUUUGAUACUUUUGCCAGGAGCAGGUAGUCCUCACACUUCAGUGUGAAAAUUCCCAGUGCAGCUGUCCUCCUGCAGUUCCUCGCUUCCACUCUCAAAAGCCAAGGCCUGGGAUUUAGAUGGGGUGAGAAGUUGCUCCAUGUGUUAUUUCCCAAAGCUUGUGCUCUGUCCUAGCAACCGUGAGAUUUUUCCUAACCUCUUUCCCUUCAGCAAUAGGCUGGGAACCUGUUUUUCUGCCACCUCUCUCUGAUAAAAAUCUCACCAUCCUACCUUCUAAUCAGUACUGGUACACCAAUUUAUCAGUGCAGGAUCUCACCGGAGUUGCUUCCAGCCCUUGCUGAGUUCAUACAGCCACCUCAGAGCAGGCUGCCUCAUACCACAGCAAGUUAUCAUUGAUCUCAACUCUGUAAAAGCCGCUGCUUUGCACAGAGGUGUGGUAUCUCCCGGUCUACUGAGUGAUGGUAUCUUGUCCCAGCAGAAGCAAUAGCUCAGGGCUUCCACUGCUUGGAACAAAGGGAGUCAUACAAGGCAGCAGUCUCUAAACCCCUCUAAGUCAGAAGCAUAGCCCCUCCAUACACCAUACCUGUGCUACAAGCACUGAUGGGUCUCAAUAAAGCACCUUUGUAGAGUGGACCAAGUUUGAGGAAAAGGGCCAGGGAACCAGAGAGAUGUCAUGGGUGGGGACCUUGUUGAUUCAGGGCUUGCAUGGCCUUUGCAGUGCUCACAGCACAUUGCCAGGAUCACUGUAGAAAUGAGCAAUUUCUCCGCAUUCUGGACCAUAAUCUUCCCAGUGACAGCUGCUAAACUCCACUAGCAAAAAAAUUAACCGGAGUCAGUAUGCGCGGCAUGAGUCAAAACAGUGCAGUGGGAGAGUAGCUGUCAAAGCAGGAGUCAGUCUCUGAGGCAACAGCUGUGAGGUAAAGGAUUUCCUACAGACUUCAGCAAGGCUGAGGACUGGGGCCCAGUGCUUCACUACAGUAAGAGUAAGUGACCUGCAGACCCAUAACAGCAAGAGAGUGUUUAUGCAUUUCUUGAAAACAUGUUUUACUGAAGCAGGCACAUAAGGAGACAAUAGAAAGAGUUGCCAUCUCUGUAUGAGAAAAUUUGGG